AGAUGUGAAGGUGAUCUGGCGGCAACAUCUGUCACCCCAAUGAUCAUCAGGAUUGAUUGAGUGAUCUGGACGGCUAAGCUGAUGGACCCUUCCUCCCUCACUGCCCCAUGUGCCUCCCUCCCGAAGCCAUGCACUGAGCUCAAGAGGAUGACCUUCCCCAAACAGAGGAGGACUAGUCUGUGGUCAAGGGUAUAUGAGUAGCUGUGCUCCCCUGAUAGAACCUCCAAACAAGCUAUCAGAAUGGGAUGUUCAUUCAAGUAAAGAGGUCAUUUUAGGGGGUUUCUACAAACCAGAGGAGAGGGGAGGACUUGAGACAUCUUCUGAAUCU
rnacentral:snRNA from 1 species